AAUGUUAUAAAGGAAUGGGUGAGGGAAGGCCUUCCUAAGAAUGAGAUCUGAGGAAUGGGCAGGAGUCAGCCGGGGGAGAGGGUAGAAAAGCGUUCCAGGCAAGAGUCCCAGACCAAGAUAAAGGAGAGCGUGGUGAUUUGGGGAGUGGAGAGAAAUCCGCAGGGCUCUUGCAGAGUUGGAGGAGGACAGUAGUGCUAGAUACUCGCAUCUCCCUUCAAGGAAGGAUUUGGUGUCCAGCUGUGGCGCAUGCAGUGAUCAGGGAACAGGAUACAGCUGUCGGCUCCUCAGUAAGCCUCGCCUCUCCUCUCCUGCGCAGACUCGCCCAAGGUCACGCCCUUCCCGGGGUCGCUUGCCGUCGUCUGGUGGCUGGUGAGACGGGGAGACCCAGGCACAGCCAGCGGCCCGGGGUGCGGAGAACACCCUCCCGGGCAACGCUCACCCCAGAGCUCCCGGCUCCGUUGGGUCUGCAUCGCCCUUCAGCUGCUUCCCCGCGCUAACCCGGCGUCUGCCCGCCUCCUUUCACAGGCGCGGAUCCUUGCUCUUCACCUCGCUUCUUAAACUCGGUGCCAGAGCCAGCUCCAGGAGGACCCAGCCUCCCCCAGCAAGGAAGGAGGAAGGUUUUUCUGGUCAUGUGUGAUCUCCUCAGACACGGGGGAGGUAAGAGUCCCUGAGGCCUAACAGGAAUGGACCCCACGUCCGGUGAGCAGGAACAACUUUGGCGUCUUCAUGGAAGGAUCUGAAGGGUCUCAGCCAUUGAGCUGGGUGCUGGGGAUACAGUGAUGACGAAGACAUACCUCACCCUCAAGAACUAGUGGACAUCACCCACUUAGUCUAUGAAGAGAAGACACACUAAGACUGUUCAAGUACAUUUGGGAGGAUCCACGGAGAAAAGCGAGUGAGCCCUCCUCUCAGUCUCAUCUCGCGGGAGAUCACACAGGCUGGCUCUGAUGCCCGUUCACAAGUUCCUGGAAAAGCUGGAAAUGACAGGGAGGUCCCGUGUGUGGCUCUCUGUGAUGGCAUCGUUAAAAAGCAGCGUUUAAUCUCUGCAAUCCCCGACUUUAAAAUGACUGCCGUUGUGUGAGUCGGAAGACGUGGCGACAGGGCUGAGGAGGUCACGGCGGCAAAGAUACAAGGAAGUAUCUGAAAAGAAUUCUUUAAAAAAAUAAAAAAAAUCUCUUUGUACAGAA